rnacentral:rRNA from 1 species
UUGUCCCAUAAUACACCAGUCUCAUCUGAUUUUGGAAGCUAAGCAGAGAUGAAUCUGGUUAGUAUUUGCAUGAGAGAUUACAAGAGAAUGAUAGG